UACGAAGGGGGCUAGCGUUGCUCGGAAUGACUGGGCGUAAAGGGCGCGUAGGCGGCUCAUACAGUCAGAUGUGAAAUUCCUGGGCUUAACCUGGGGGCUGCAUUUGAUACGUGUGGGCUUGAGUGGGGAAGAGGGUCGUGGAAUUCCCAGUGUAGAGGUGAAAUUCGUAGAUAUUGGGAAGAACACCGGUGGCGAAGGCGGCGACCUGGUCCUUGACUGACGCUGAGGCGCGAAAGCGUGGGGGGCAAACAGG
rnacentral:rRNA from 1 species